rnacentral:rRNA from 1 species
GACGAACGCUGGCGGCGUGCCUAACACAUGCAAGUCGAACGGGGUAAUUUCUUCGGAGAUUACUUAGUGGCGAACGGGUGAGUAACGCGUGAGAAACCUGCCUUUCAGUGGGGGACAACAGUUGGAAACGACUGCUAAUACCGCAUAAUGUCAUUUAGGGGCAUCCCUGAAUGACCAAAGAUUUAUUGCUGAAAGAUGGUCUCGCGUCUGAUUAGCUAGUUGGUGAGGUAACGACUCACCAAGGCGACGAUCAGUAGCCGGUCUGAGAGGAUGAACGGCCACAUUGGGACUGAGAUACGGCCCAGACUCCUACGGGAGGCAGCAGUGGGGAAUAUUGGGCAAUGGGGGAAACCCUGACCCAGCAACGCCGCGUGAAGGAAGAAGGCCUUCGGGUUGUAAACUUCUUUUACCAGGGACGAACAAAUGACGGUACCUGGAGAAAAAGCAACGGCUAACUACGUGCCAGCAGCCGCCGUAAGAC